AAUAGAUACCCGGGUAGUCCACCCCGUAAACGUUGGGAACUAGUUGUGGGGACCAUUCCACGGUUUCCGUGACGCAGCUAACGCAUUAAGUUCCCCGCCUGGGGAGUACGGCCGCAAGGCUAAAACUCAAAGGAAUUGACGGGGACCCGCACAAGCGGCGGAGCAUGCGGAUUAAUUCGAUGCAACGCGAAGAACCUUACCAAGGCUUGACAUAUACGAGAACGGGCCAGAAAUGGUCAACUCUUUGGACACUCGUAAACAGGUGGUGCAUGGUUGUCGUCAGCUCGUGUCGUGAGAUGUUGGGUUAAGUCCCGCAACGAGCGCAACCCUCGUUCUAUGUUGCCAGCACGUAAUGGUGGGAACUCAUGGGAUACUGCCGGGGUCAACUCGGAGGAAGGUGGGGAUGACGUCAAAUCAUCAUGCCCCUUAUGUCUUGGGCUUCACGCAUGCUACAAUGGCCGGUACAAAGGGCUGCAAUACCGUAAGGUGGAGCGAAUCCCAAAAAGCCGGUCCCGAGUUCGGAUUGAGGUCUGCAACUCGACCUCA
rnacentral:rRNA from 1 species